GGUGUUUCUUUAGCCUGUGAGGGCAAUUAAAAAGCAGGGAUAUCCCCAGUGGAAUGCAACAAGCUGAAAACAACUAAAUGGAUAAACACGAGUGUCUGUGUUAUCAUUUUUCAGAGGUAUUUAUUAAACUGUCAUGGUUUAUCAUUGUGGCUAUGUUGUGCACUGGUACUUGUAAAAUGGUGACCAACGUAAUUUGCUGCACAGAAGCAGGGACGUGUUUUAAAAACAAAAUGCAGUGACAAUAAUACUGAGACAUGUGAAUACCUCCUUUAAAGUUAUUUACUGUUUUGGUUAUAUUGUGCACACUGAUAUAAUCACACUGUGGUGCGUUGAGGUCCUUCUAAAAUGGCGGUUAGAAGCGAAAUUGAAAUUUGAAAUGCCUCUCAUAUCGACUUUUGGAGUGGAAUUACAGAACACCUCAUCAGAUUGACCUCGAGUGUACCAAAUGUUUUGUCGUUUAUUCCACCGGUCAGCCUUCCUUCACGACUGUGUAAAUGUGAUGAACGUCUGAAAACAAAUCGCUUUCUCGUUGCGGAGUUGGAAAUGAUCGAAAUACGACAUAGCUCCGCGCCUUUUCUCCUCCAUUGUGCUAUAUCCGACUCUGACAUCAUUAUUGCAGGCCGACGGGGAGGAUCGUUGCGCACCGCCCUUUAAGACGGGUCCGAGGCUCGGUCGUUGAAGAAAAAAAAAGUCGUGGCCGCGGUGCUGGUUCCGAGACGAGGGGGGAAAACGUCUGAGUCCGACCCACGGUCCCAUCCAGCUGGCACGGAGGCGAAAAACAAAUCGUGAGUGUUUUUCGUGAGAGCCGACACGCCCGGGCAAAGAGGAAGGAAGGGUGGGGGAGGAGGACCGCGAGGACGGGGGAGGACCGACCGGACUCGAGGCCGCGAGAGACGGAAGUGAGAGAGGGGGGUUGCUCCGAAGAGGAAGCCCUAUCCCUUUAAAAAGCGAGUGGGACAUAGCGGUGCGAGGAAAGGAGAGGAGGGGGAGAAGAACGAGGAAUUAAAAAAGAAAAAGAAGAAAGACACUGGGAGGGCGGAGGGAGAGCGGGCGAUAAAAAAAGAAAGAUGACAUCCUCGCGGCUGAGCGGCCGAGGUGGGGCGACGGGCCGCGGCCCGGUGAGAGCGCCACUCGCCCGGGCCACGGCUUGACUCCAACAACGAGGCUUCGGCAAACAUCCGAGUGGCCUAACGGACGGGCUCGGAAAACAGAUUGACUCAUUAAAACAAAGCAUGAUUUGACGGCUGACAGAUACGUGUUUUAUAACCCUUAAUCGCUCUCCCGUGUUACAAAAAAUAUAUCUCUAUACUUUUACUUCACGUGUAUGUACAGUAGUGUAAAAUUACGACGUGAGGUUAUGGAGGCAGUCGAAUUGGUGUGAUUCUUUCUUUCUUUUUUUUUUUUUUUUUUUUUUUUUUACCGUGGCCUGAUUGUCGUUGAAUUAAUCCAAGUAAAAGAUUCGCGUCAGAAGCGAGAGAGGGAUCUUGGUGAUUCCCGGCCUGCAUGCGUUCACCGCUGCGCCCAUUUGGUUUCUCUGCAUCAUGCCGCCCCCGUGACAUCACCACUUUCUUUCUUCAGUUUUUUUUGUUUGUUUAAACCCACCGUUUUUUUUCUUUUUCAACGUUGGAGGUGACGGCUCAAGUAUUUCUUUUACCCCCGGAGCCGACCUAAACCAUGCGAAAGCUGCCCUCUUUGAUCUCAACUAGCAGCUGAUUUUAUAAUCUCCAUCUCAGUGACACAAAAUGGAUGCUGCGUGGAGCAAUUUCCUCUUCCAGGUAGGCUUGAAUGCUCCCACCCAAAACCAAGUGGAGGGGAGCCUCCAAUCGGAGCUCAUGUCAGUCCAUACAAGCUCCCCCCAAACCCCACCCACUGAGCACAUAGCUCAGCCUCCCUCCACGGUGGACACCACAGCUCUCAAAGAGGAGCCCAUGCCCAUCGAGGUCCAUGGAGCUGAUCCACACCCUGCUGCUACUUCAUUAGUGAAGCCCAUGUCUCGGCCAGCCCGUGUGCCGCACAUCUGUGCCAUUUGCAACAAGCAGUUCAAGAACAACUACAACCUUCGGCGGCACCAGUCGGUCCACACAGGGCGGCCCGCCAAUCAAAACCCCACGCCGGUGAGAAAGAACCACGCAUGCGAGACGUGCGGGAAAGCCUUCCGCGACGUUUACCACCUCAACCGCCACCGCCUGUCCCACUCGGACGAGAAGCCCUUCUCCUGUCCCAUCUGCCAGCAGCGCUUCAAGAGGAAGGACCGGAUGAGUCACCAUGUGCGCUCCCACCAGGGCGGCGUGGAGAAGCCUUACAUCUGCCCCCACUGCAGCAAGGCCUUCUCAAGGCCCGACCAUCUCAACAGUCACGUGCGACAGGUGCACUCCUCAGAGCGGCCCUUCAAAUGCCCGACAUGCGAGUCCAGCUUUGCCACGAAGGACCGUUUGCGUGCGCACAUGAUUCGCCACGAGGAAAAGGUCCCGUGCCACAUCUGUGGCAAGCUCCUGUCGGCCGCCUACAUCACAGAUCACAUGAGGGUGCACAACCAGUCACAGCACCACGUCUGCCAUCUGUGCAACCGCAGCUUCACCACACUGACCUACCUUCGCGUCCACGCCCAGAAGCACCACGGCCAGGAAUGGAAGGACAGCCCAGGAGGCUUUGGUGGCACGGCGUCCGGCGGCGUGCUCGUCUGCCAUCUCUGCGGCGUCCACUGCAAGACUCCCACCCAGCUCCAGGGCCACAUGGGCACCCACAGCAGCAGCCAGGGCGCCCAGAGCACCGCCACCUCGAACGUGGCCGCCACAAGCUCCAUUUCCCUCAGCAACAUGGUGACGGCGCCCACCGUGUACGUCACGGGCGGCACGGUGGUGGACCUCCUGGUCACGGACUGCUCGAGCAUUGCGGCGCCGCAGUCGCAGAGUUAGCGAUAGCCAGGUCAGCAGCAACAGCAAUAACCUCGGUCCUUGAAAUCAAAAGAGGGCAAGGUAAGAGAAGAAGAUGCGUCGAUGCUAAUCAGUUUACAGUUGCUGGUCAAAGUUGGAGGGUCACAACCGCGUUACAUUUCGACACAUUUGCAUUUCAACAAGCUUGGAUACGUCAUCCUCAUAAUCUGAAACGGUGGCGGGUCGUGCAUUUUGGUAGCUGGGCCUUCAGCAGGGAGGUAAUACCACCACAAUUGCUCUGCGAUGUUAAAAAUGAUCGAUGCGAUACAAAAUGCAAUAAAACCGCAAUCAAUACUUAUCAAAUAACACGAUGAUCUAAAAAAAAAUGAAAUGAAAUAAAAUAAUCACCAGAGAUGCUGAUUAUUACAUGUAUUCAUGUGUGUGACUACAGUCGCUGGAUUAACUUUCUCCGACCAAACAGUCAGAGGACAGAAAAAUACUGACAUUAUCGAGGCCCCCCGAGGCAAAUUUGAAAUCUAGUUAGUUAAAAAAAAAAAACAGUCCCAUCGUUGUUAAACCAGUUACACGAGGCAGCACUACUGCUUCUAACGGCUCUGGGCGAAUUCGAUUUACAUGGUAACACACAGAGGCUAAAAUCUGAUUGGACAAAAAAACAAUCUAACAUCCACACACUGCCUUGAAGCAAUGCAGCCCAGGUCAACACUAAAAAUGAGAAGAAUAGACUUGAGAAGAAAUGCACACUAUUUCAUGGAGAGAAUGCUAAUGCUGUUAAUGUAGGUCAGUGCUUUUGUUGCAUUUAAGACAGCAGAGAAGGCCUUGCUGCCCCACCACUGAUCCAGGAUGCUCGUAUCCAACUAAACUGAUGACAACUGUGCUCUUCUGGGUGUCUGUUGUAAUUAGAAGUCUCUCUCUCUCUCUCUCUCUCUCUGUUUAACUCACACCAGCGCUGAUCUUAACCUAUCUUUUUUUUUUUUUUGCAGCUCACUGACUAAAAAUAUUUAGUGCUUGUGUUAAGAAUGAGAAAUUGCGCUCUCAAAAAAAAAAAAAAAACUAAAUGAGAAGGGAAGUUGUUUGGGUGUGGACAAGGCAGGGCGUCUUUAGCAUGUUAUCUUGUUUGUUCACUGACUUUUAAUACGAGUUGUAUGAAUUUUAUACAAAGUGGUUACCUUUAGUAAUUAGCGGUUUCUAGAUCAGGAUGUGGAUAUGGCAUGGUAGCAAGUACUUCUUGAUAAAAGGUACAGAGGUCGCCAAGGAGGUUUAAGCACCUUGAAGGCCCUUUCACACUGCACUUAGCACUACAAAGAACGCAGUUAACGAGCCCAUUCAUUGUGUAAGUGCUGCCUUAUGGAGACUGGCAACCACAAUGAGUAGAUUUUUUUUUUUUCUUUUCCAUUGACCGUGCACUCUGACGACAUGGGUUGAUUUCAGAAUGCAAAUAGCAAGAAAUUUUGGUGCAGUUGAACAGUGGAAAGGAAGGAGAAAGCGGUGUCCCGGUGGCUCUGGGACACGAGGCAGAUGACGCGCUGAAAAAGAAACUGCUCCCUGUGCCGCUUGAAGUAAACCUCGAGACGUUCUUCAUUGAGCUGUAGCUCACAGCCUACUGAACAUCCAAACGAGUGGCUAAAGGCACCGGGCUACUUCUCUGUCGUGGGCCAAUGAAGUGCAGUGUGUAAGUGCCUUAUUGCUGUCCAGUGGAACUUCCAAAGGUUAAUGCCCCCUGAAGUGGGACCAUUUGUGAAGUUCAGCCGAAAUCCAAGUCAAACAAAACUUAUCGUGACGUUUGUGACUGUCAAGAAAUGGUGUCUCAAUGUUGGGAAUGUUGACAGUCAUGAAAUUUAUUUCUCACCGGGAAACAUGUUUUGAAACAAGAACAACUUGGAAGUCAACUAACAUUGGAGGUUCCACUGUCAUUGUUUGGUUUGUCGAGAUGAAAAUAGGCUUGGAAUGAGUUUUCUUGCGCUAAAGUUUUCUUCUCUGGAUCGCGCCGAGGGGGGGAAAAGAUGAAUCGACACUUCUGCUUUUAACACUGCGACUCUUGCACCUGGACGAUUUAAACAAACAAUAAAACAACUUUUGCAUGAAAGCAAUCCCAACUCGGCUUAUCAGCACAAAAUGAACUUUGGGGUUGUUUCACUAAGGUUUUAAACGAUAAUACCAGAUGUUUUUUUGUUUAGUUCUUUUUUUUUUUUUAACUUUUUUGAAAAAUUGAUUUUGUUGGCCAUUUGUUUGAUUGUAACCGUUAUUGCCAUAGUUUUUUUCCCCGUUUGUUUUGUCUACCUGCCUCUCCAAUGAGUAAACGUAAGACAUUAGAUUUAGUGUGUAUAGCACCUAACAUAUUUAUCUUUAUCAUGUGACAUGGCUCUCACUGGUUGCAUCUAUUUUUAAUGUGCUAUAAAAAGGACUUGAAAUGAGUGCCACAGCAAGUUGACAAACUUUUUCAGUUUUGAGCGAAUAUUUCCUUGACCUUUAAAGCGACGUUUCUUUACUGUAGUGUUUAAAAUGUGUUCUUCCUUCCUCCCUGGUGAGAAAACUUGUCAUUCACUAUACAAUAAUAUUACUUUACUUCCAUUUACACUAAGA